rnacentral:rRNA from 1 species
CCUACGGGUGGCAGCAGUGGGGAAUAUUGCGCAAUGGGCGAAAGCCUGACGCAGCGACGCCGCGUGAGGGAUGAAGGUCUUCGGAUCGUAAACCUCUGUCAGCAGGGAAGAACGGUCACUGUGCUAAUCAGCAGUGAAUUGACGGUACCUGAAGAAGAAGCCCCGGCUAACUACGUGCCAGCAGCCGCGGUAAUACGUAGGGGGCAAGCGGUAUCCGGAUUUACUGGGUGUAAAGGGGGCGCAGACGGCGAUGCAAGCCAGGAGUGAAAGCCCGGGGCCCAACCCCGGGACUGCUCUUGGAACUGCGUGGCUGGAGUGCAGGAGGGGCAGGCGGAAUUCCUGGUGUAGCGGUGAAAUGCGUAGAUAUCAGGAGGAACACCGGUGGCGAAGGCGGCCUGCUGGACUGCAACUGACGUUGAGGCCCGAAAGCGUGGGGAGCAAACAGGAUUAGAUACCCCAGUAGUC